AUUGAACGCUGGCGGCAGGCCUAACACAUGCAAGUCGAGCGAGAGGCGGACGGGUGAGUAAUGUCUGGGAAACUGCCUGAUGGAGGGGGAUAACCACACGAAACGGUAACUAAUACCGCAUACCAUCAGAUGUGACCAGAUGGGAUUAGCUAGUAGGUGGGGUAACGGCUCACCUAGGCGAAGAUCCCUAUCUGGUCUGAGAGGAUGACCAGCCCCACGUGAACUGAGACACGGUCCAGACUCCUAUGAGUGGCAGCGGUGGGAACGAUUUCAAAAUGGGUGGAAGCCUGGUGCAGCCAUGCUGCGUGUAUGAAGAAGGCCUUCGGGUUGUGAAGCACGUUCAGCGGGGAGGCGUUUCCCGCAGAAGAAGCACCGGCUAACGCUGGACCAGCAGCCGCGGUAAUUC
rnacentral:rRNA from 1 species